rnacentral:piRNA from 1 species
UGAUCUUCUGUGUAGAUGCUAGAUGUACUA